CUUGACGGGGUGCUGCCGCGAUUGUGGCUGCUGAGAUGAUACCCGUUGAACCUGAACCGGUUAGUACCGGCGUAGGAAUCGAGAUAU
rnacentral:ncRNA from 1 species